rnacentral:tRNA from 1 species
GCCUCAGUAACUCAGACUGGUAGAGUGCGUCCUUGGUAAGGACGAAGUCGGGAGUUCAAAUCUCCCCUGGGGCU